UUGGCACCGUCUCUUCUACCCCAGAGGGUUUCCCCCUAAAGACCGUUAGGGAUGUGGAAGUCAUGGAAGGAAAACUGGCAAAUCCAAACUUCAUGUCCAAACUGGUUGCAGCUGUGACUGACAUAGGGGGGACAACUGUUGACGACCUUCCUCCUAGACCAUGGCCUAUCCAGGCAGUACAACUUUGUGGGCAAAACGGGAAGAGAUUUCAAGGCCUUACAACUGUAUGAAGAGGUUUAAAGAAAAACAGCAUGACCAGCCAAAUCACCCAUAAAGAUGCCGAGAACGAGAAGGCGGU